UACGUAGGGGGCAAGCGUUGUCCGGAUUCAUUGGGCGUAAAGAGCGUGUAGGCGGCCAGGUAGGUCGGUUGUGAAAACUGGAGGCUCAACCUUCAGAGGUCGACCGAAACCAUCUGGCUAGAGUCCAGGAGAGGAGAGUGGAAUUCCUGGUGUAGCGGUGAAAUGCGCAGAUAUCAGGAAGAACACCCGUGGCGAAAGCGGCUCUCUGGAACGGUACUGACGCUGAGGGACGAAAGCUAGGGGAGCGAAAGGG
rnacentral:rRNA from 1 species